AUGUUGCAGUUCGAGGUGAACAACACCGUCAUGGGCAUUCAUCUUGAGAAGAACGGCGCUGGAAUAACAAUAGCAGACAAUAGGCGGAAGCGGUGCGUGGCCAACAGAAGGAGGCAUGGCAGUCGAGGGAGAUGGCGCAUCAGAAGAAUCCACAACAAGCGGACGACCAAUGUGGUAAAUAUAAGAGGACGAGGGGGAAACCACCAGAGAAGCCACAGGGGAACGAGCGUGGUGAGGUUGCCUAAGGUAACAAACAAGGUGGUGAAGCCACAUGUGACGAUGGCAUGGUGUCUACAACAGAAUAUGGGAAGACAUGAUGGGAUGGGUGGACGAGGGCAACACAUGAGUGAUAGUUUUAUCAGGAAAAGUGAGGAAAGGAAUAUCCUCAAUGGGAGGAUAGCCGUGGAUAGAAAAGGACGAGACUCAUCAAAAGUCACAUCUCGAGAAAUGUGUAUUCGACGACUGACAGGAUCCCAACAUUGA
rnacentral:rRNA from 1 species